GAUGAAGAACGUAGCGAAAUGCGAUAAGUAAUGUGAAUUGCAGAAUUCAGUGAAUCAUCGAAUCUUUGAACGCACAUUGCGCCCGCUAGUAUUCUGGCGGGCAUGCCUGUCCGAGCGUCAUUUCAACCCUCAAGCCCCCGGGCUUGGUGUUGGGGAUCGGCGAGCCUCCGCGCCCGCCGUCCCCUAAAUCUAGUGGCGGUCUCGCUGUAGCUUCCUCUGCGUAGUAGCACACCUCGCACUGGGAAACAGCGCGGCCACGCCGUUAAACCCCCAACUUCUGAACGUUUGACCUCGGAUCAGGUAGGAAUACCCGCUGAACUUAAGCAUAUAUAAGCGGAGGA
rnacentral:misc_RNA from 1 species